AUUCCGAAAGUAGCGGCGAGCGAAAUUGGACUAGCCCUUAAGCUUUAUACGCGUUAGGUGAACAAGCUGGAAAGCUUGGCGAUACAGGGUGAUAGCCCCGUAACUGACAACGCGUAUUCAGUGAAAUCGAGUAGGGCGGGACACGUGAUAUCCUGUCUGAAUAUGGGGGGACCAUCCUCCAAGGCUAAAUACUACUGACUGACCGAUAGUGAACCAGUACCGU
rnacentral:rRNA from 1 species